AACGAACGCUGGCGGCAGGCUUAACACAUGCAAGUCGAACGCUGGCAGCAAUGAACGAUUGGCGCACGAGGGAGAAACGAGGGGAGAGUAGCCUUUGGGGUCGGAAUAACCGCGGGAAACUGGGGCUAAUACCGGAUGGGUCCUACGGGAUUAAGAUCUAUCGACAAAAGAUGGAUGCGCGUCCGAUUAGCUAGUUGGUGAGGUAGUGGCUCACCAAGGCUACGAUCGGUAGCUGGUCUGAGAGGACGAUCAGACACCCUGGGACUGAGACACGUCCCAGAUUCCUACGGAAGGCAGCAGUGGGGACUAUUGGACACUGGGGGCAUCCCUGAUCCAGCCAUGCCGCGUGAGUGAUGAAGGCCUUCGGGUUGUAAAGCUCUUUUGGCGGGGACGCUGAUGACGGUACCCGCCGAAUAAGCCCCGGCUAACUUCGUG
rnacentral:rRNA from 1 species